rnacentral:rRNA from 1 species
AGUGAACGCUGGCGGUAGGCCUAACACAUGCAAGUCGAACGGCAGCACAGGAGAGCUUGCUCUCUGGGUGGCGAGUGGCGGACGGGUGAGGAAUACAUCGGAAUCUACUCUGUCGUGGGGGAUAACGUAGGGAAACUUACGCUAAUACCGCAUACGACCUACGGGUGAAAGCAGGGGACCUUCGGGCCUUGCUCGAGGGAAUGAGCCGAUGUCGGAUUAGCGAGUUGGCGGGGUAAAGGCCCACCAAGGCGACGAUCCGUAGCUGGUCUGAGAGGAUGAUCAGCCACACUGGAACUGAGACACGGUCCAGACUCCUACGGGAGGCAGCAGUGGGGAAUAUUGGACAAUGGGCGCAAGCCUGAUCCAGCCAUACCGCGUGGGUGAAGAAGGCCUUCGGGUUGUAAAGCCCUUUUGUUGGGAAAGAAAUCCAGCUGGCUAAUACCCGGUUGGGAUGACGGUACCCAAAGAAUAAGCACCGGCUAACUUCGUGCCAGCAGCCGCCGCUG